CCUACGGGAGGCAGCAGUGGGGAAUAUUGCGCAAUGGAGGAAACUCUGACGCAGCAACGCCGCGUGGGUGAUGAAGGCCUUCGGGUCGUAAAGCCCUGUUGGGUGGGAAGAAUUUGACGGUACCACCUGAGGAAGCACCGGCUAACUCCGUGCCAGCAGCCGCGGUAAUACGGAGGGUGCAAACGUUGUUCGGAAUCAUUGGGCGUAAAGCGCGCGUAGGCGGCCAGUUAGGUCGGGUGUGAAAUCCCGGGGCUCAACCUCGGAACUGCGCUCGAAACCGGCUGGCUUGAGUCCCAGAGGGAGAAGUGGAAUUCCUGGUGUAGGGGUGAAAUCCGUAGAUAUCAGGAGGAACACCAGUGGCGAAGGCGACUUCUUGGCUGAGGACUGACGCUGAGGUGCGAAAGCGUGGGUAGCAAACAGGAUUAGAUACCCUGGUAGUCCACGCUGUAAACGAUGCUCACUAGGUGGCGGGGAACUAAACCUCUUCGCUGCCGCAGCUAACGCAUUAAGUGAGCCGCCUGGGGAGUACGGUCGCAAGAUUAAAACUCAAAGGAAUUGACGG
rnacentral:rRNA from 1 species